rnacentral:rRNA from 1 species
UACGGAGGAUCCAAGCGUUAUCCGGAAUCAUUGGGUUUAAAGGGUCCGUAGGCGGGGUAAUCAGUCAGUGGUGAAAGUCUGCAGCUUAACUGUAGAAUUGCCAUUGAUACUGUUAUCCUUGAGUUAUUAUGAAGUGGUUAGAAUGAGUAGUGUAGCGGUGAAAUGCAUAGAUAUUACUCAGAAUACCGAUUGCGAAGGCAGAUCACUAAUAAUACACUGACGCUGAUGGACGAAAGCGUAGGUAGCGAACAGG